rnacentral:rRNA from 1 species
UACGUAGGGUGCAAGCGUUGUCCGGAAUUAUUGGGCGUAAAGAGCUCGUAGGCGGUUUGUCGCGUCGGCCGUGAAAUCUCCACGCUUAACGUGGAGCGUGCGGUCGAUACGGGCAGACUUGAGUUCGGUAGGGGAGACUGGAAUUCCUGGUGUAGCGGUGAAAUGCGCAGAUAUCAGGAGGAACACCGGUGGCGAAGGCGGGUCUCUGGGCCGAUACUGACGCUGAAGAGCGAAAGCGUGGGGAGCGAACAGG